rnacentral:lncRNA from 1 species
GUGUGGAUGGAACAGGACUACCCUAGACAAGAUGUGUAAAGUUUAUCACUCAGGAUUGUUUUUAAGAUGUUUCAUCUAUUUUCUUUCUUCUGUUCUGUGCUAUAAAGUCUGCUGAAUUGUAACAAAGUGAAGUUGAGGAUUAUAGGAGAAAUACCUUGGCUAUCAGAGGGGAGUGGGGGUGAUACAAUUACUGAUGAAGUCCACAAAGCUGCAGUUAUCUUCCCUAUUCAGGGCAUGUUCAUCAACAGACUCCAUGUCAACAAUUGAUAUGAAGCUUCAAAUGGACCAGAAAACAGGAUACAGGAGGAAACAAGGUGACCUUAGCUGAAAGGCAGCAAGACACUUAUAUUAGCCAUCAUAUCAGAAACCUUAUGCAGAAUCAAACUGUGUAUCAGAGGCAAGAAAAACAUAGAGCUUCUGGUUAACAAAUAAGGAGGAAAGAAAUACAACAUUAACAAGAACUGGUAAAAAGCAACUUCAUUAGUUGCAAAAUUCUUCGAGAGAGGGAAAACUUUAAAACUGAAGACAAAUGAAAAGAACAAAGUUAGAGAGACUAGACUAUUUCAGGUGAACAAAAUAUUAUUAUACCAUAAACCUAAAUAUUAUUAUACCAUAUACUAAGAAAUUUCUCAUUUUCAUUAAUGACUG